CAGGGUUUAGGAGCGCUCGCUGGCUGGCUGGCUAACGGAAAGGCUGGCUGGACUCAGGGAUCCAGCCACACUGCUGGCGGGCAGUGUGCUGUCCUCCCUGCGGGUGCCUUUCUCAGACUGGGGCCCGCAUGAAUUCCACCUCCUGGGAGAAGCUGCCGUCUGCAUGCCUUCCAGGGGCAGCGGCUGCCCUCCAGGAUCUGGAACUUGGGGGUCAUGGUGCCUCGAACUCCUGACUCUGUGGCCCCAAGAGGAAGAGGAAGCUGGGUGGGAUCUUAGGGGCCAUGUGGACUAGGAAGCCCACUGGGGAGUGGACACAUGAAAAGUACUUUGGGACAAGGAGUUCCAAUCAAACAGAAGAUUGGAACCUCAGCACCUCCAAAGCUCACGGACCUGCUGGUGAGGUCUGCCAGGACUGCUGAUUCCACUCAGCCACUCACCACCUGCCCCGUCUGCCAGGUGCCAUAUGCAAGGAUGCUGCAUUUUCUGCUAAUGGGGGUGGGGGAUGGCAGGAGACAUAAUGGGGUGGGGAGGGGUCAUUGCUAUUGUCAUCAUCACUCUUUGCCACCCCAAUGACAUUCUAUACCUUCUUUUGCAUCUGAUCUCAAGGCAUCAAGAAUAUGAAAAAAGGCUCUUCUGUCCCCAAAAGGGAGAUCUUACCUUAAGCAAUGGGAUUACCAUUAAGUACAAGACAUUUGACAUUAAUCCCAGGACAGGAUGGGAGGAAGGGCCCUGACCAGGAGGGGGGCACUCCAGAGUCGGCCACCCGCUUCCCUUGCCCUGACCUGUCCCGUAGCUUUCCUUGUCAGAGGCUCAGACUCCAUGUCCCUACCCGAGACUCUCUGACUGUGGCCAAGCUCCAGCCCUACCCUAUCCCCAACACCCUCUGCUACAUUCCUGCAGGAGCGCAGGCUGAGGCCUCUAGAGUAAGACAUGUUUCUUAUGCAGGAGGCAGGGGGCUAUGGGACCCCAUCUUAAGCCAAGAAAUCAGCUCAGGCCUGCAUGGGCCUUCCUUGAAUCUUGAAGGAACUGUGGACAUCUUUCAGCAUGGGGAGCAAGACUGAGUCCCAUAAACACCACCUGCAUCCCCACUCUGAGUCUGGGCAGUGCUGCCCACAGGCACAGGGUGUUGGGCUGGAAAUGGCCUGCUCUUCCCUCUCUUGAACAGGGGGCGUGCCAGGUCCAGAGAGAGAGCCUGGCCUGCCUGGGGUACCCGGAGCGGGACACAUGGCAAAGCCUUGAAUGCAGAGGGGCUGCAUGAGCAGGCGUUGGCUGGCACUAUCUGAGCACCGCAUAUACCCUCCCCACGGCAUACAGCAGCCCUUGAGAUGAGUCAGGUUGCUUCCUGGGAUGGGAGGGAUGGGGAGAAGAUGGUCAAACCAGACGCUGCUUCAGCGACACUUCUAUAGGGCCAUGGGGUUGCAAAGGGAUCAGAGGUUUGUCCUGGUCACUUACACAAAAAUCUCAACCCCAACGCUCCCGGGUCAGCAAAACUGAAAAGCAGACCCCCUCCUUGGGUGGUACCGCCUCCAAGGGCACUGCAAAGGCCACAAAAAGAAAACAAGGGAAGGGAAUCAAACUUUUCCUCAGCCUCGGGGGAGCACUAGACCAUGCUGGAGGCUGGUGGAACGGAGCCUCCAACUCUUUCCUGAUGGGACCAUUGCCAGAAGGACCCCUUCCCUCCUAGUGUCGAGGACAGAACACCUUAAGUUCAGAAUCCUGAUCCUUCUGACAGUAGUCGGGUGGCAACUGUGUUACAUGGGGGGCAGGGCGUCUAUGCAGACAGUAGGACCUGGCCCAGCUACUGUUUGCAUGCAGUGAGCUCAUCAGUGAGGCUCCUCUCCAUGCAGUGGCUGCUCUGGAACCGCGAAGGGCUGCACUGACACAGGCAAGCGCUCAGACACUCGAGCCACGUUUAGUCAGCCCUUCCGGCUCAGGCUCCCCAGCCUCGAUACUACCCAUAGAUGGAAGUGAGUGAGGCCUCGGGCAGAAUCCCAGGGCACCAUCACCAGCCCUUCCCCUCAGCUUCCCUGGAGCAAUGUUCAGGCUCAGAAUGAGGCAUUACCGAGUUGGAAGAGACCUGGUUGGACCCCAACAGUGAAUGCCCCAUAGAAAAGGCUGCUCUCUGGACCCCACGGCCAUCUCCAGAGAGACCCCUUCCCAAGGUGUCUGCAGCCUGGGCCAGGCCUUCCACAGGCAGUGAUGAUUCUGAGCUGGUUCUCUUCAGCCAGGCUUAGAGGAGGAGGGGUUUGAAGAAAUGCCCUUCCAUGACAUACAAGUGCCCCACAGAGAGCCAAAUACCUGCUCAGGUAAGAGAGGGUGGGGCUGGGCGAGGUGGCUCACGCCCGUAAUCCCAGCACUUUGGGAGGCCGAUGCGGGUGGAUCACGAGGUCAAGAGAUCGAGACUGUCCUGGCUCGCUGGGGAUCAGCUGGGGAUCAGCUGGGGAUCAGCUGGGGAUCAGCUCUGCCCCUUGCCAGCUGCAAAAACUCAAGUCUUGGGUUUUCAUCCAUGUUGACAACAUCUGCUUCAUAGGGCUGCAAGGUGACCGGAGCACCUGGAAGGGGCUAUUGCUGUGGUUGAGCCAUUGGAGGACUUGGCCUAGACAACUCACAACUUGGACUUAUUCAAGACCAACGAGAGGACAACAUGCCUGCUGAUGGACUGACAGGAGUUUCUGGGAGACCCUGGGAGCAUGAAGCCCACAAGUUCCCCAGAGAGGAGCAAUUGCAGGCAUUUCUCCGGCAGCUGACCACUGCCCCUCAGGACCCUGGCAUGCCUUGGCUCCAGCCAGUGCCCGUGUUGCCCCUGGUCAAGGGCUGCCUGACCCAGUCAGUGCUUGCCUCUUCCUGACCACGGUCUCCACCCCACGCCUGUGAUUGCACAAGCCCAGGGCUGCGGAAUCCACCAUGGGCCGUGUCUCCUGCUAUGAUGAGAGCCUGCCUUGCUUCAAGCACUAGGACUCCACGUGAAUAACACACAGUUCUUUAUUCUGUUUUAAUCAGAUGCUUAAUGAUUUUCAGUCUACUUAAUUACUAGUAUUGUAUUUUUUAAAUAGAGGUUUUAACUGCAUCUAUGUAGUAUCUUAGCCACAAUGUGGGUUAUCUGGGCAUUUGUGGGCUAACAUGGAAAGCUACUCAUAUUAUGUUACAUUCUUUUUUAUGGGAAAAUGCAUUUAAGUUCCAAAUCAUUGAUUUAUAAUAUGUCG